rnacentral:rRNA from 1 species
GACGAACGCUGGCGGCGUGCUUAACACAUGCAAGUCGAGCGGAAAGGCCCUUCGGGGUACUCGAGCGGCGAACGGGUGAGUAACACGUGAGUAACCUGCCCCAGACUUUGGGAUAACCCUCGGAAACGGGGGCUAAUACCGGAUACGACACAGCUUCGCAUGGGGUCUGUGUGGAAAGUUUUUCGGUUUGGGAUGGGCUCGCGGCCUAUCAGCUUGUUGGUGGGGUGAUGGCCUACCAAGGCGACGACGGGUAGCCGGCCUGAGAGGGCGACCGGCCACAUUGGGACGGAGCCAGGGCCCGGCCCCCACGGGGGGGGGGGGGGGGGGAAGAUUGCACAGGGGGCGGAGGCCGGAUGCAGGGCCGCGGCGGGGGGGAGGACGCCCUUCGGUUUGAAACCCUCUUCCGGCGGGGAGGAAGCGAAAGGGAGGUUCCCUGAAAAGGAGGCCCCGCCCAACUAGGGC